rnacentral:rRNA from 1 species
AUGAACGCUGGCGGCGUGCCUAACACAUGCAAGUCGAGCGAAGCACUUUGCUUAGAUUCUUCGGAUGAAGAGGAUUGUGACUGAGCGGCGGACGGGUGAGUAACGCGUGGGUAACCUGCCUCAUACAGGGGGAUAACAGUUAGAAACGACUGCUAAUACCGCAUAAGACCACAGCACCGCAUGGUGCGGGGGUAAAAACUCCGGUGGUAUGAGAUGGACCCGCGUCUGAUUAGCUAGUUGGUAAGGUAACGGCUUACCAAGGCGACGAUCAGUAGCCGACCUGAGAGGGUGACCGGCCACAUUGGGACUGAGACACGGCCCAAACUCCUACGGGAGGCAGCAGUGGGGAAUAUUGCACAAUGGGGGAAACCCUGAUGCAGCGACGCCGCGUGAGCGAAGAAGUAUUUCGGUAUGUAAAGCUCUAUCAGCAGGGAAGAAAAUGACGGUACCUGACUAAGAAGCACCGGCUAAAUACGUGCCAGCAGCCGCGGUAAUACGUAUGGUGCAAGCGUUAUCCGGAUUUACUGGGUGUAAAGGGAGCGUAGACGGAUGGGCAAGUCUGAUGUGAAACCCGGGGCUCAACCCCGGGACUGCAUUGGAAACUGUUCAUCUAGAGUGCUGGAGAGGUAAGUGGAAUUCCUAGUGUAGCGGUGAAAUGCGUAGAUAUUAGGAGGAACACCAGUGGCGAAGGCGGCUUACUGGA